rnacentral:rRNA from 1 species
UACGAAGGGUGCGAGCGUUGUUCGGAAUUAUUGGGCGUAAAGCGCGCGUAGGCGGCCCGGUAAGUCCGUUGUGAAAGUCAAAGGCUCAACCUUUGAAUGCCGAUGGAUACUGCCGGGCUCGAGUCCGGAAGAGGCGAGUGGAAUUCCUGGUGUAGCGGUGGAAUGCGCAGAUAUCAGGAGGAACACCGAUAGCGAAGGCAGCUCGCUGGGACGGUACUGACGCUAAGGCGCGAAAGCGUGGGGAGCGAACAGG